CGAGGGUGAAGCGUACGGGUGGCCCGGUAACAGGAUGGACUGUACAGCGAACAGAUAGACUAAAGGCCUCACUCACCAUCCCGCUUCCUGUCCGGACUAGAAGAGAGAGAGACGCGGCUGCGCCCUUGCUAUUUAUAGCAAAUCGCCUGGUCGACUUCAUCAAGCUAAAACAUAGAGAUGUGCCCACAUUGGCUGUACUCCUUGGAUGAGGAUCUGUUCAGCGACCCGUGAGGGUUUUCUGCAUUUACAAGACAUAAUGAGGAAUGAUUUCUCCCCACAAUCUCCGGUUGCUGUGCUGCUCGCUGUCUGCAUAGUGAUGCCUCUAAGCGUGCGCGCUUGCACUGACCCACAAAUGGAGUUCUGAUUAGCUGCUAUGGAAACAGAGCCCGGAGUGCCAACAUCAGUGAGCGAAGGUGAGGAGAAGAGGAAAAGUCAAGACAAAUUUUGGAACAUUGUGGACACGUCUGAAUCUUAAUAUUACAGAGUCUAUCAUUCUAUGAGCAGUUAAAUAUUUCUCCAGCUGUUUGGAAUUCGAAGCGUAUGGAGAAAAUAAUCUUCCUGAUUCUCCACACCAGGGAAAGAAGAACCUACCUAUGAGCAUGAAUUAAGUUAUU